UUCAAAAUAAAAGCCACGAGACAACACAAAUACAAGACAAAAAACUAAAUAAAACCUAACACCUGGUACGAGACAUGACAACUUGCAAGUACAGACUAGCGAUUACAGACUUGUGAGAACGCAAGUACGGACUUGCGUACUUGAGUAUUGAGACACGGCUUAUACUAUGUUACAAGAGCACAGAGCGCUAGGAUGGAGCUGGAGUAGCUGACGGACCGUGGAAACUGCAGGCCUGAGAAUACACAGAGAGCAACAGAGGGUCGAGCCAGCAGGACGUGGGUGUGGGGCAUUGGAGGGGGAACAUGCGGCAAUACCCCUCCUCUCAGAUAAGUGAUCCUUUUGAUUAGAUUUUUUUUUAUUUUACCCUCCUGCAUGCACUCCUGGCUGCUUUAGAACUUAGUGUAUCCGAGCGUCUGAGUAUUGACGGCGACUCCCCCCCCGACUCAGAACGUGUGAGAGCCGGACCGGGAGCAAACCAGAUUGUGACAAGGCUGAGACUCCACCAGUAUCUGGACAUCUGACUCCUCAGAUUAAUAUUUUAUUCUUUUUUAAAUUGUAAUAAAUUCUGUUGAACGUUUUAGUCUUUUAUUUUAUUACACUGCUCACUCCUGGAUCUGAAUCUUGUUUUCAAAUGGGUCCUAGUCCGUCACUAGGUGGCGUUGUCUUUUGUCUCCAUUUUUAAAGUUUUUUGUUUUUUUAAAUUUGCUUUCACCCACCACUUGGCCACACUAGGAGAAUUGAAUGUUAUGUUGUUAUCCUGGUCUCAACUCUGAAUGUAUCUCUUUCACAUUUUAUGAGUGUUCAAGCCAUCUUUCAGACCAAAUGAGUGAAGAGCACAGAAAUAUGAUUUGUAGGUUUCAAAUAGAAGCAAGAUCCUUAAUUAUCCUUAUAGAUUAAGGGUACAUCAAGUGGCUGACUUAUUAAAUCAAGAAUUUAACCUAUUUAUUCUCAGCAGUGUGUUGCAUCAUGAUAGCAGCAAAAACAAGAACAAAUCUGGAGUUAAUAAAAAUCAAAAUGCAACAGCAGUAGCGUAGUUAAACUAGACUUAACAUUUUGAUAGUUUACUGUAGAGAAAAUGUGGGGAGUCCAUAUUGACAUCCAGUGCUGAAUGAUUAAUAGAAUGUUAGAGCAUUAUUUACAGCACCAUAAUACAUAUAUCUAUUUGAUAAAGCAUGAUGUAUCAGCAAUAGUUAUUUGUAAUCUUAUAGCUAUACAAAUAAAGGAGUCACACUAAUUUAGGCUAAAGUCACUAUGCUCUACCCUCAGGGAAAAUUUGGUUUUGAAAUGUUUAGUAGGCUGAUUAUUGAUAUUAUGGUCUACACAGUCCACACUCUCUCCAGAGAACCCGGAGAGAACCCACGCUGCACAGGGAGAACAUGGAGACUCCAAGCAGAAAGAUCCCUUCUUGCUGCAAAGCAACAGUGCUAACCAAUGCGCCACCUUGCAGCCUUCCUUUGUUAAUAUGAUUAUGAAUUAUAUUACAAUAAUACAACAUCAGCAGUCAUCACAUAUUCACAGUUUUUGCUCUAUUACAACAUUUCUCAGAAGAGGUGUCAACAUGCAGGAUAAAAAUGUCAGCUUGGUGCCCUUUCUGAUUUGAGGCGCCUCAUGAUGGUGGUGGUUGCUAAUGAUCAAGGAAAAAAGUCUUACAGUUACAGAGGACCAUUUUAUCCUCAAUUAGAAAUCAGAGUGCAUUUGCGAAAUGAAAGCAGGCAUUUAUUCAAGAGCAUAAGAAGUCAGAUCAAAGGCAAGUAAGAAAGCAGCAAAACAUGAUAAACACAACAACUAGUCAACCUUAUAAUCCCUGAGAGAUCUUUGAAAAUACAAUUAAACACUGGGAACAAACCAACAUGUCAAUCAAAGCCUUGUGUCUGAAAUACAGACAAAAAAAGAAUGUGCAUGUGAAAAUGUGCUUUGUAAUAACUCACUGAAGACAGAAAAGAACCAACAUAUUUAUAAAUGUGCUUUGGUUUUACUGGAUAACCCCUGUCCUUUUUUUUCUAGCAAAAGUGCUGCUGUUUCAGUGUUGUGUUUUCUUUGAAACAGAGACUCUUUUUAUUUCUGUACCUAGUUUGAAGCAUCAUUUAAUAUUUCCCUGUUUGUCCACUAUUCCUAAUAUCUACCUAAUCCCAGUCAAGGGCAAAACAAGUUGGUGAAAACAGCCACUUAAGACAAAUGACAGGGACUCACGACAUAAGCAUUUGACUCAUUGGAUUAAUAAAAUCAUUAAACUGUAUAAAAACCCUUGCCAUUCAACUCGGGUCCCAACAGUGUUUCACCUUGUCUGUUUUGAAGCGAGGUGCUCUCUGUCUUGUUGAGAAAUGAAAGGGUGUUAGUCUCGGCUCUUGCAACUCUCGACGAGCCCUUCCGCCGGCCUGCAUGUCUCCAUUGCUCAACGACAUUGAUUACCUGAUGCAAGCAAAAGCCAAGUUUGCCGCUCUGAUCAUUAAUCCUACUGCAACGCCGCUCUUAAACAACAGCCCCCUACCCUCACCCCCUCACUUCUUUCCCUUUCCUCCCUAUUUCUGGCAUUUAUUGAAGUAACAGGGGCACAGACUAAAUGAGGCCUGAGUGAUGGAGGGUUUGCCAAGCAGAAUUUUUCUCAUGCACAGGGUGGAGCCUGCCAUCAUCUGACAAGAGCUUUGAAUUUUCAUAAUACUAUAUGGCAUGGAGAGAAAAUUCCCAUUGAAAUCAAUAUUUCAUGGCAGGGGUGAAUCCCUAGUGGAGCAGCUCUGUAAAUUGAUUUGAACAGAAAUAUGUUUAGAUUUUCAUUUUACAAACUGAUGGUGUUGCUGACACAGGUGAGGACCUGUGUUUCUCCAACUUCUAAGAAUAACACUUAAGGAUGCGCUAAACAACCAAUUUAAGACUGAAAACAUUCUACACACAUUUAUCAAGCUAUUUACUCCAAUUUGUCGCAAAAAGAAUGCUUGUAGGCAAAAUGUAGGCCUAACCUUUAGGAACAUUUUUCAAGUGAUCACAUGAUUAAUUGCAUUCAUUCUCUUAGCAGAAAUAGCCUAUCGUGUUGUUGCAGCCCGUUGAGGAGUGCAGCUGCAUUGUAUAUGAUGUUAACGUUUUAUUUUUUCCAUGUGUUUGCCAGGAUACCUCUUUUUCUAUACGUUACACAUAAACUAACAAAUAAACUCAAUAAAGAAAAAAAAAAAAGAAAGAAAGUGACAUCAGGACAAUCCCAUUUCUACCAUAUUAACUAUUCUUUUCAUAAAAUAAUUCUGUUUUUCUCAGUGAUUUUAAUGGUGUAAUAACCAUAAUAUUCAAAUUAACAAAUGGAAGGUCAAAUUAACAAUAAUACACAGUAUUUUAAAUGUAUAAAUAGGAAUGAAAUGACAGACACUUGGCUGAAAUCUGAAUAGAAUUAAACCUGAGCAGGAAAGAAGACCUGCUGCUUGUAGACAAGCUACAUCAGAGAAAUGGUAUAAUAGCAAUAGCACUCUGAUGCAAACUGAUAAAUGCAGACAAGAGAACUGCAUAGAAAGUGACUGCAAACAAAAUCAGUGCUUGUGUUGUUUUCACACUGAUAAAUGUUCUGCUGUGAAACCGUAUGUCUUGGCAUUCAUGUGAAUGUUAUUUUGACAACCAUGUCCCCAAAAAAUUACAACCCCACAAAACUAAACUGCAUUCUCAGUUACACGUUGAAGAAAAUGUAAUUUUGUUUGCAAAUAAACAUAUUUUAUCCCUUGUAAUGUUGUCAAAAGGCAGCCAGUUUGACCACGUGACCACGUGAGGAAUAUGGAGGCAUAAGUCAACAACCAAACUCUCCCCAAGACGACCAGGGUUCUCAGCCUGAGAGGGACCAUUACUCCCACACUUCAGUUUUGUUUUCAUUCACUUUCUGUUUGGGUGUAGGCACCAAAACAAUGUGGUUUGGUUAAGGAAAAGCCCAAACUAUGGUUGACACAUUCAGUAGGAUAAUGGUAGGCUUGGUUGAACUUAGGCACCAAAGAUAUGUUAUUUGUGAUACAUCAUAAACAAUCCAGCAACUGUUUCCCUCAAAAUAUAACUGAGAUUGUAGUCUACUUGUAUUAGAACAUAUUUUUGUGGAGGCAGAAUUGACUUAGACACAUAGCACAUACCUAAACAUGACAACACAGGGCUCCAGACUCACUUUUUCACUGAUGGCACCAGUGCAACCAACUUUCUUAUUUGGUCGCACCUCCCACCAGUCACAAGCAAAACAUGUGUCUCGCUGAACAUUUUCUUAUUGAUAGACAGUAAAAUUUACUGAUUCUCCCUAAAUGCCCCACAUUGCGGACUGCAGUGUGCUCAGGCAGGUACGCAACCAAAAAUUACUUUAAAGAGAAUAAACAAGGGCAUUCUAAAUGUCACAUUUGUCCAAGAUGAGAAUGAGUUAUCAGUGCCACGUACAGAGUGCGAGUAGGGCUUCAUGCAAAGCCCGAGGCCACUAUUGUUAUCCUGGUGCGCCUUUUCUUAUUAUUUCGACUCUUCCGUACAAAAUUUCAGUCGGCUACUCCUCCCACAGAUUUGAGAGCACCCACACAAAUUAUGCAUCAAAACGUGUUCGUUCUCGAUCGGGAAUAGUGUGCUUGCAUACAGAUUUACAAAAAUUGCAUUUUUCGCGAUGCAAUUCGCAAAAACAUCGUAAAAAUCUCCCAUUGAAAAUGAAUGGGACGGACGAAAAAAAUCACACAAAAUUACACUGCUUUUCAAACCUCCACUGCUCAGGCAUACUUUCACCUAGAGAAUCCAUUUCAACUUUAAAAUGUUGACGCGCCCUUCCCCUGUUUCAAAGACUUUCGACUUUUUUCAUAUCAUCACUCGUUUCUUCGUGACAACCUCUCAAGUUUUGAAACUUUUUCACCCCUUUUCAGCCUUUACAAUGGGUGUGUAUGUGGUCCUUUAGAGUGAGUGAUGACAUCACUAGAGUGGGAGCUCAGAAAAAUCUCACACAGUAAACUUUUUUUUAACUUGUCGCCCUGGCCACAAUUUUUAUGCCACAGACAUCAUUUUUACAUCAAAACAUAGGAAAAUUUGUCCUCCCGCUCACAAUGUUACUUUGAAAGCCAACAGAAUUAAGUUUGGGGGAGUUUUGGAGCCUUGUUCCUCCACAAGUCUCUCUUCCUUCCCCAUCUGCCCCCAUUCAAAGACGGCUACUGAUUUUUCUCAAGGACCACAAAUUUACACAUUACUUCUCAAGUGAUUGUGCGCUCAUUUUGUACUCUAAGAAAAUAAAAAAAUAUAUCUCUGUAUUGCCUUGGCAAGGUCUUGGCUUUCUGAAAAUGUGCUCGGCUUUUCUCUCCGACACAUAGUUUUGAAGAAAAUGGCGGUUGUUUGAGGUCUUCUCCUUCUGGUCACUUCGACUGAUUUGAAAAUUAAACCAAGUAUCUGUUGCAGCUGUGUGCUUUGUUGCCCGGCAACGCUCUAACCCUACUCCCCCCCCCCCCCGCUCCCUCCAUACAGCAACAGCCCUUCACACAGCUGAGGCUUAGGUUAUUCAAAAUUUUUAGUGGGUUUGGUAAUUACAAAAUAGUCAUUUAAAGGUCCCGGCAGAGUCCCGUGGCACUACCAAAUUUUCUGCAAGGAAAUUUUCUACUUUUAUUUACACCCGCCCUUUUCUAUGAGCGAAAAUGAGCGGAAAAAAUGUAGGUGUGCUUCACUUUUCACGAGAAGACCACAUUUCUAAGUGUAAAUGCUACAGUACACCGAAGUAAUACAAGUACCGCUUUCCACCACUGUGGUGAACACAGCAGCUUCCUGUGCCGGUUGCAGCGACACAAAUACAGCUUAAUGAUCAUAAUGCACUCACACCAGUGAGACGGCUUGAAAUUUUAACUCGCACACUCUCAAAAAAAGGUUGCAAAUGCGACCAUUUUGGUCACAACUCGGAGCCUUGCUCCCUCAGCUGGACAACACACCAUGCCAGACCACAAAAACUGCUCAGGAACACAAACACAUCCCUAAGCCAGAUUCCAAACUCCCCAGAUCCCAAUCCAAUCAAGCAUCCAUGGAAUGUCACAGAUCAAACCUGACCCAUGGAGGCCUCACCCCGCAACACACAGGGCUUAAAGGAUGCAAUGCCAACAUCCAUGAGUCAGACCCCAUAAGUCCUGUGUCCAUGCCCCAGCUGGUCAGAGCUAUGUUGGGGAGAGGAGACCUCCACGUUAGUAGGUGCUCACAAGCAGACCCAGUCCUUCCAGGGGUCCACUGCAGAUGGACCACUAAAAAAGGCAUAAGAAAUAGAGACAGGUGAACAGAAGAUAUUGUCACUCAAGUUAAAAAAAAAAAUUAAAAAAAAACUUGCUUUGGCCAUUGAGUGUACAUAUUAUUUUACAGUGCUACCACAGACUAAUGGCACUGACUGGAUUAUUUUGUGUUGCCUAUCGUGUACAGAAAAUUUGAGGUUGUAAAUGAAAGUAAGUGAAGCUGUGUGGCUGAUGUGCCUUUUUGUUUGCAUCUGAGAAGCGACAUCCAGUGGUUCUGAAUGUCAUACACAGAGCCUUUAAAGUUCAAAGGUUUUUUACCUUUAUAUAUUUUUUUAAUAAAACUUAACUUGUGCAGUUCCAGUUCCAGCAGGCACCGAAGUCCACGUAACUUACAUCUUGGUGUCGCUGAAGAUCUAGAGGACUAAAAUCCAAGUUGUAUUAUUUAAGUUUACAUUUAAAGUUGAAACAGGUUCUGGGCUCUGGCAUACUUUUGUUUUAAAAAAAGGAAAUCAAAACAGAGAACCAUUAUUUUUAGAAUUGCGUCUUUACCCUGGGGAAGUCACCGCCAACACAUCCAUCAACACAGUAGCCCUGCUGCAUGUCCUCAAAACCACAAUCAAAUAUGAGUUCUGUGACACCCACACAUCAAGUGGCGGACACACUGACUGCGAAGAAUUUUCACACCAGGUAAUUAUCUGCUGUUUUUCGUUGCCUUUGGGAGGAAAGUGGGCAAGGCCGGCUGAGGAGGAGAAGGAGUGGUUGCAGGGGGUGAGCUCUCCCUUACACCCUUAGAUGUGAGGGUGAAAAUUACACAGCCUCCUUGGUGGGCCUGGAGAGCCACCAGACCUCAUCAAGCAGCAGGUGAGCACUUUUUUGCAUCCUUUCCUCAAUGUCGUCCCAUCGAGUAUAAAUAGAACAAUAUGGCAGGACAAGUCACAUCUCAUUUGGUGUGUUGUGUUUCAGAGCACCUCCGCUGAGACGCUGGGCAGUGAGGGCAGCUGGCAGAAAGCAGAGCUCCACUAGUGGACAGAGGCCAGGCUUGGAAUUUACAGUCCCCGCUGAGAAACCAUUCUUUGAGCCCUUCAGUCGUACCCUGGAAAACCCCCACGGACGAAGGCACACACGGGCACCGGAUCUUCUCGCACCACCCUCGGAACCCUCCUUCACGGACCGCGGCACAGAAGACCCCCACUCCUCCCUCACCACGACUGGCAUCCCUGCACCAGAUCCCGUCACCUGGCUACUCCCCAUUUUUUCCCUUUUUGAAAAUAAAAACUUUAACUUAA